GACGAACGCUGGCGGCGUGCUUAACACAUGCAAGUCGAACGGUGAAGCCCCAGCUUGCUGGAGUGGAUCAGUGGCGAACGGGUGAGUAACACGUGAGCAACCUGCCCCUGACUCUGGAAUAAGCGCUGGAAACGGCGUCUAAUACUGGAUACGAGAAGGGUCCGCAUGGGCACUUUCUGGAAAGUUUUUCGGUUGGGGAUGGGCUCGCGGCCUAUCAGCUUGUUGGUGAGGUAAUGGCUCACCAAGGCGACGACGGGUAGCCGGCCUGAGAGGGCGACCGGCCACACUGGGACUGAGACACGGCCCCGACUCCUACGGGAGGCAGCAGUGGGGAAUAUUGCACAAUGGGCGAACGCCUGAUGCAGCGACGCCGCGUGAGGGAUGACGGCCUUCGGGUUGUAAACCUCUUUCAGCAGGGAAGAAGCGAAAGUGCCGGUACCUGCAGAAGAAGCACCGGCUACCUACGUG
rnacentral:rRNA from 1 species